CACUCAUUAAGGUCAAGCUGUGAUGGGGAGAGGAAACAUGUUUUCCUCGAGUCGUUGAUUUCACACUGCCGAGAAAAGCCUCUAGCUAGAAGAUUGGUGCCCGUACCGCAAACCGACACAGGUAGUCAAGAUGAGAAUUCUAAGGUGAGCGAGCGAACUCUCGUUAAGGAACUCGGCAAAAUGACCCCGUAACUUCGGGAGAAGGGGUGCUCUUUGAGGUUCACGCUUCGAAGAGCCGCAGUGAAUAGGCCCAAGCGACUGUUUAUCAAAAACACAGGUCUCUGCUAAACCGUAAGGUGACGUAUAGGGGCUGACGCCUGCCCGGUGCUGGAAGGUUAAGAGGAGUGGUUAGCAUUAGCGAAGCUACGAAUCGAAGCCCCAGUAAACGGCGGCCGUAACUAUAACGGUCCUAAGGUAGCGAAAUUCCUUGUCGGGUAAGUUCCGACCCGCACGAAAGGCGUAACGAUUUGGGCACUGUCUCAACGAGAGACUCGGUGAAAUCAUAGUACCGGUGAAGAUGCCGGUUACCCGCGACAGGACGGAAAGACCCCGUGGAGCUUUACUGUAGCCUGAUAUUGAAAUUCGGUACAGUUUGUACAGGAUAGGUAGGAGCCUUAGAAACGUGAGCGCUAGCUUACGUGGAGGCAUUGGUGGGAUACUACCCUAAUUGUAUUGGAUUUCUAACCCGCAACUCUUAUCGAGUUGGGAGACAGUGUCAGGCGGGCAGUUUGACUGGGGCGGUCGCCUCCUAAAGUGUAACGGAGGCGCUCAAAGGUUCCCUCAGAAUGGUUGGAAAUCAUUCAUAGAGUGUAAAGGCAUAAGGGAGCUUGACUGCGAGACCUACAAGUCGAGCAGGGUCGAAAGACGGACUUAGUGAUCCGGUGGUUCCGCAUGGAAGGGCCAUCGCUCAACGGAUAAAAGCUACCCCGGGGAUAACAGGCUUAUCUCCCCCAAGAGUUCACAUCGACGGGGAGGUUUGGCACCUCGAUGUCGGCUCAUCGCAUCCUGGGGCUGUAGUCGGUCCCAAGGGUUGGGCUGUUCGCCCAUUAAAGCGGUACGCGAGCUGGGUUCAGAACGUCGUGAGACAGUUCGGUCCCUAUCCGUCGUGGGCGUAGGAAAUUUGAGAGGCGCUGUCCUUAGUACGAGAGGACCGGGAUGGACAUACCUCUGGUGUACCAGUUGUCGUGCCAACGGCAUAGCUGGGUAGCUAUGUAUGGACGGGAUAAGUGCUGAAAGCAUCUAAGCAUGAAGCCCCCCUCAAGAUGAGAUUUCCCAACUUCGGUUAUAAGAUCCCUCAAAGAUGAUGAGGUUAAUAGGUUCGAGGUGGAAGCGUAGCGAUACGUGGAGCUGACGAAUACUAAUCGAUCGAAGACUUAAUCAA
rnacentral:rRNA from 1 species